rnacentral:rRNA from 1 species
UACGUAGGGUGCUAGCGUUGUCCGGAUUUAUUGGGCGUAAGGGCUCGUAGGCGGCGUGUCGCGUCGGGGAGUGAAAGCCCGCUGCUUAACGGCGGGUUGGCUUCCGGUACGGGCAUCGCUGGAGUGCGGCAGGGGAGACUGGAAUUCCUGGUGUAGCGGUGGAAUGCGCAGAUAUCAGGAGGAACACCGGUGGCGAAGGCGGGUCUCUGGGCCGAUACUGACACUGAGAAGCGAAAGCGUGGGGGAGCGAACAGG